rnacentral:rRNA from 1 species
UACGUAGGAGACGAGCGUUGUCCGGAAUUACUGGGCGUAAAGCGCGUGUAGGCGGACAGGCAAGUCUGCUGUGAAAGCUCCUGGCUUAACCGGGAGUGGUCGGUGGAAACUGCUCGUCUGGAGGACGGUAGAGGUAGGUAGAAUUCCCGGUGUAGUGGUGAAAUGCGUAGAGAUCGGGAGGAAUACCUGUGGCGAAGGCAGUGUCCUGGGGAGUACCUGACGCUCAGGUGCGGAAAGCCAGGGGAGCGAAACGGGG